UAGUGAUUAUAUCAGAGUGGAAAUACCUGUUCCCAUCCCGAACACAGAAGUCAAGCACUCUAGAGCCGAAAAUAGCGCAAGUAAAAUAGGUCAUCGCUACGCUAGAACCAA
rnacentral:rRNA from 2 species